GUGACACUUUACCGCUUGUUAUAUUGUAGCGCACGGCAUCGCAACCGUGAAGUUUAUUCGUAGCGCAAGUGGUUAAGGCUUGAUCGUAAUAAUUCUUGCUCUUCUGUUUAGCUUUUUCUAGAUUCUGUGUCACAGUCGUCUGAGUGGUGGUAAUUUUUCAAAGAAUUCAUCAAGCUGUUUUGCAAAGGUUCUAGGUGUUAGACCCAUGGAGAAUUUUGAGGGUAUAUUGGCCUUUUCGCCAAAAAUAAGUUCAUUGGGCAUAAAAGCAGUGGUCUCGGGCACAGAAGUGUUAUUUGAGAAAUUUUUCAUAACUUCAUUAAUAAAAUUCCUGCCUUGGUCAGUAUGGAUAGCCCUUGGACAUCCAAAUCUACUGAUGAAUUGUUUGGCAAGGGCAUAAGCAACGGUUAUUGUAUCUAUGCUACAUAGCAGGAUUGCAUCUGAAUAUUUAAUGAGGUUAUCUUGUAAGGUGGGGCACGAACGAACAAAAUCUUCAAUUUCCUUUGCCAUACCUGGUCAGUAGAACCGUUCUUGGAUAAGUUGGCGAAGCUUAAAGGAACCUCGGUGACCUCCAACUACCGAUUCAUGAUGUUCCUUAAUAAUCUGUGAUCGUUCCGACCUUGGCGGAAUUAUAAUCUCCGUACAGCAUAUGGUUCCGUUCCUAUCGCGCCUCUCGUUCGUUUCGAGCCUCCCCAUAGAGGAUGAUCAUCCGAUUCUGUUGAUAAAUUAUCAUUUUUUCCUGGGGCUGUACGAACAGAGGAAAACGUCGAUCGACGGUUACCGCAAAUUUCACGUGGUUCAAUUGGGAGCCGGUGUUACGAUCGGGUCAAUGGACAGGGUUUGGGAGGAGCCAGAUAUAGGAGGUGACGCGAACGUGCUAUUAAUCAUAUUUAAGGGACUGUCCGUCGAGUUAUACCCUUGGAUUAUGGACUGUACGGGAACAAAACCUGUUUCAUUUACUCGCAACACUACAGCUCCGGAAGUAGGGGGUUCUACGCGGGAAGAUUCUAGCGAUUCCUCUAUGAAUACUCCACUAUCACCACGCAUACGCUGUUUACGGCUCCCUUUAGCCCUCACGUAUUUCUUUAGGAACGGCGGCAUUUUAUCAAUUGAUUAAAUCUACUUAGUGCGAAUAAAUUAGACCAGUACAAAUAAAUCUAGCUACUAGUCUGUGCUGCGGCUAUUAUUAUAUUACUACACUUACAGUUCGCUAGCAACUACGACGGAAACGCUCUAGAAUUUUAUUGACCAGUUCUCCUGCAACAGGGGUUUUCUGCUCGUCGUCGGUCUGUUGAGUCAGCGGUCUGAGUCCCGGAAGAUGUUCGGAAUCGGCGAUGGGACUGGUCCGUGAUACCUUUCAGAUGUUCCGAUCGUCGGUGGUGUUCGUUUCUCUGUCCUACAGGAACCUCGUUCGGUGGCGUUCGUCUCUCCGUGCUGAGUAAGGCGAAAGUUCAACCGUGAUGUGAACAGGGUGCAUGUGAUAACGGUGGUGGCUUGCACGGCCGCCGAAAUCACCCGUCUCCGGUAUUUACCCGUGCCCUUGGGGAAAC